AUGAACGCUGGCGGCGUGCCUCAUACAUGCCAGUCGAGCGAACGGACGAGAAGCUUGCUUCUCUGAUGUUAGCGGCGGACGGGUGAGUAACACGUGGAUAACCUGCCUAUAAGACUGGGAUAACUUCGGGAAACCGGAGCUAAUACCGGAUAAUAUUUUGAACCGCAUGGUUCAAAAGUGAAAGACGGUCUUGCUGUCACUUAUAGAUGGAUCCGCGCUGCAUUAGCUAGUUGGUAAGGUAACGGCUUACCAAGGCAACGAUGCAUAGCCGACCUGAGAGGGUGAUCGGCCACACUGGAACUGAGACACGGUCCAGACUCCUACGGGAGGCAGCAGUAGGGAAUCUUCCGCAAUGGGCGAAAGCCUGACGGAGCAACGCCGCGUGAGUGAUGAAGGUCUUCGGAUCGUAAAACUCUGUUAUUAGGGAAGAACAUAUGUGUAAGUAACUGUGCACAUCUUGACGGUACCUAAUCAGAAAGCCACGGCUAACUACGUG
rnacentral:rRNA from 1 species